UUUAGUUUCAGAUUCAAAGAAGAAGAGAGGUCUGCUAGGGUUUAUAGAUUCAAUUUCAAUCAACGCCAUUUACUCAUCUUCUUCCUCUGCUGUAUCUCUGGUUCGCCUAUUCUUGCCGCCACAACACGCAUCAGACGCCGCCGCUCCCUGCGUCCGCCGCCACUCCUCACAGACUCGGAGGAACGAACUAUCAGUAUCACCACCCUGUUAAAUUUCGCAGAGAAAGAACGAGAACCAGAGCGACCCUUGAUGACACUGAAAUAGGACAACUUUUCUCAACCCUACUUCUUGUUGAGGACGACAAACCCAGCAAGGAAGUAGAGGAAAGUGUAAAAGUGCUAAAAGAUGCAGCUAAGACGAGAAAGGUAGCAGCAGAGAAGGUUCUGUCUGCACUUUCUGUCAUUGAGAAAGCGAAAAUUGAUCCUUCUGGCUUUCUUGAAACCCUGGGUGGCAAUGAAUCCCCUGGGAGGACAUGAAUGCUAAUUUUCACCGCUGAAGUGAACAUAUUUGUAUUACUUUUUUGUUUGCUCGUUCUUUGGCUAGUAGUUUGAUCAUGGCCUUGACAUUUGUUUUCAGUCUAUGGAGUAUGUAGUGAUAAAAUUAUGAUUCUUCCUCAGCUUAAUUUGCUCUGUGCUGCAUUAUUAUGAUUAUUGUUAUUGCUUUGCUCUCACAAAUAUAUUAAUGUUUUUGACGGCUCUGAUAUGUCAAUUCAAGUGAUUCUUGGGUUAUUAUAGUGUCACAAUCAUUCACACUAGAUUGCAGCAUGGCCAUCACGACUUCAUACACAGUUAUGAAUUAUGAUGGGAGCAAGUAAGCUAAAUCUUGGAGACAAACCCAGAGCAAUGAAGCUAGUAGACUAUUCCGUUCAAAAACUAUAUCUUGCGCAGCUUUGGAUGGCUAUUGAAAAAUUCGACAAAAUCAAUCUCUGGAAAGGGUUGCAGAGCCUCAAAGUCCCCUGUGAAUACAACCUUCAUAAAAAGAUGCUUCACCUCACUUGCCAAUUUCAGCAUUUUACAUAUUGCAUCACAGCACCACUGGACUCCUCGCAUCGACAGGAACUCCAGAACAUUGAGGUUUCCGAAAUCUAUCAUGUAUACCCUCCCUGGAAACAAUUAACAUGAGAUGAAAGAAAUAUAAGAACAAGAAAACACAGCCAGUAAGAAAAAACUAUAUGUACAA